GGACAAGGCCGUGGACAUGGGACGCACAUCUAGAACAAGGGAAUCCAGCCCACCCAACAUUCCACCAUUAGGAGACUGCACCUGGAAUGAAAGCCUCCUCUGGUGAACCCCUUACCCGCUCAGGCAAAAAGCAUUUCUGUUCCCUGCCUUAUCCAGACAAUGAUUUGCAUCUGCUAAUGCAACACAAUCAAAGCGCACUACUAAUCCAAGAGAAGUGUGUGAGGAUUAAUCAAAUUCCUCCGAGGCGAUGAUGGAUGGAAACCUAACUCAAAUGCAGUACUGAAAGAAUGUGCCAUUACUAUACAUGAACAGAUUGCUUUUAUUUCUUGGCAUCAAGGAGACCUCCUUUCAAUACUGUAAUAAUGGUGCUUGUCUUUUGGGGAGUGAUGGUAGGGAGGAAUCAUUAAACAAAGAGCACUACAAAAAUGGCGACCU